CCCCUCUCUGGGUCGCUCCUGGGGAGUUUCCAGUACUCUACCAGUCUCGACUGUGGGAGGGAGAGUUAAGCAGAGGCUUGCCCAUUCCUUUCCUAGCUUUGGCAGCGGCUAGCGAGUGUAAGGCAAUCUGCUACAAGU